GACGAACGCUGGCGGCGUGCCUAAUACAUGCAAGUUGAGCGCUGAAGGUUGGUACUUGUACCAACUGGAUGAGCAGCGAACGGGUGAGUAACGCGUGGGGAAUCUGCCUUUGAGCGGGGGACAACAUUUGGAAACGAAUGCUAAUACCGCAUAAAAACUUUAAACACAAGUUUUAAGUUUGAAAGAUGCAAUUGCAUCACUCAAAGAUGAUCCCGCGUUGUAUUAGCUAGUUGGUGAGGUAAAGGCUCACCAAGGCGAUGAUACAUAGCCGACCUGAGAGGGUGAUCGGCCAAAUUGGGACUGAGACACGGCCCAAACUCCUACGGGAGGCAGCAGGAGGGAAUCUUCGGCAAUGGACGAAAGUCUGACCGAGCAACGCCGCGUGAGUGAAGAAGGUUUUCGGAUCGUAAAACUCUGUUGGUAGGGAAGAACGUUGGUGAGAGUGGAAAGCUCAUCAAGUGACGGUAACUACCCAGAAAGGGACGGCUAACUACGUG
rnacentral:rRNA from 1 species